rnacentral:rRNA from 1 species
UAAACGGCACGGCUAGCAGUCUUGUAGAGGGGGGUAGAAAUCCCAGGUGGUAGCGGGUGAAAUGCGUAGACAUCUGGAAGGAAUUCCGGUGGCCGAAGGGCGGUCCCCCCUGGACAAAAGACUGACGCUCAGGUGGCGAAAGCGUGGGGGAGCAAACAGGAUUAGAUUCCCUGGUAGUUCCACCCCCGUAACCGAUGUCGACUUGGAGGUUGUGCCCUGAGGCGUGGCCUUCCGGAGCUAACGCGUUAAGUCGACCGCCUGGGGAGUACGGCCGCAAGGUUAAAACUCAAAUGAAUUGACGGGGGCCCGCACAAGCGGUGGAGCAUGUGGUUUAAUUCGAUGCAACGCGAAGAACCUUACCUACUCUUGACAUCCAGAGAACUUUCCAGAGAUGGAUUGGUGCCUUCGGGAACUCUGAGACAGGUGCUGCAUGGCUGUCGUCAGCUCGUGUUGUGAAAUGUUGGGUUAAGUCCCGCAACGAGCGCAACCCUUAUCCUUUGUUGCCAGCGGUUCGGCCGGGAACUCAAAGGAGACUGCCAGUGAUAAACUGGAGGAAGGUGGGGAUGACGUCAAGUCAUCAUGGCCCUUACGAGUAGGGCUACACACGUGCUACAAUGGCGCAUACAAAGAGAAGCGACCUCGCGAGAGCAAGCGGACCUCAUAAAGUGCGUCGUAGUCCGGAUUGGAGUCUGCAACUCGACUCCAUGAAGUCGGAAUCGCUAGUAAUCGUAGAUCAGAAUGCUACGGUGAAUACGUUCCCGGGCCUUGUACACACCGCCCGUCACACCAUGGGAGUGGGUUGCAAAAGAAGUAGGUAGCUUAUACUUCGGAAAACGCGUCCACUACUCUGUCAUAAGUUACCCUCUAUC